GCGCAUGUGGCGUAAUUGGCAGCCGCGCUAGACUUAGGAUCUAGUGCCGCAAGGCGUGGGGGUUCGAGUCCCUCCAUGCGCA
rnacentral:tRNA from 3 species